rnacentral:rRNA from 1 species
GACCUCAAAGUCCGCUUACAAUGGUCUUCGGACAUUUCAUCAAAUUUGACCUCAAAUCAGGUAGGACUACCCGCUGAACUUAAGCAUAUCAAUAAGCCGGAGGAAA